rnacentral:rRNA from 1 species
AUCGGCGACCUCUGGCAUCAACGUUUGGGACAUGCUAGCAAUAAAUCCGUUUCUGCUUUAGCUCAUGAUUUACUUCCCUCAUGUAAUAAAGACUUGCCUAGCACCACUAUUUGCUCCUCAUGUAAAUUAGGCAAGCAGCCCCGGCUGCCCUUUUCCCUUUCUGUAUCAAAAACUAGUGCACCUUUUCAACUAGUUCAUUGUGAUUUGUGGACGUCCCCUGUUCUUAGCUUCUCCGGGUUCCAGUACUAUCUCGUUAUUCUAGAUGAUUAUACGCACUACUCGUGGACGUUCCCAUUACGCAACAAAUCCGACACUGCCAACACUAUUUCUCGCUCCUUCUCUUACGUCCUCACGCAAUUUCAUACUUCCAUACAAUGCAUGCAGUGCGACAACGGCGGUGAAUUUCUCACCUCUUCGUUGCGUGACUUGUUUUCUCGUCACGGGGCUUCGUUUCGACUCUCGUGCCCUCACACUUCGCCGCAGAACGGGAAGGCCGAGCGCCUCAUCCGGACUACCAACGAUAUCCUACGCGUCCUCCUCAUCCAUGCCAAACUCCCACCCCCGUUCUGGGUCGAAGCACUUCACACGGCCACCUACAUCCUCAACCAGCGGCCUUGCUCUCCCAUCAACUUCGUCACAUUGUACUACCAGCUCCUAGGGCACCAUCCUGCCUACGACCACAUGCGUGUGUUCGGCUGCCUUUGUUUUCCCAACACUGUUGCAACCGCGCCGCACAAACUC